rnacentral:snRNA from 1 species
GUGCUUGCUUUGGCAUCACAUCUGCUAAAAUGGGGACAAUACAGAGAAGAUUCACACUGCCCCCGCUCAAGGAUGACAUGCCGCAAAUUUGUGAAGUGUUCCAUAUUUAA